UCAUUUGCUGUUAUCAUUCUGAAAACUUUGAGGUUUUGCUCAAAGUACUUGUUCAUUUCAGGCAAAUUAUUCUCAAAAAUUAAAGUGUAAAAAGAAAAUUUAAAUUAAACUUUUUUCUCUAUCAAGGUCAAUUUAGAUGCAACCAAACUUUUACAAGGAGCCAUAGUCACUUAAUUGUGUUCAUUCACUAAGGUGAAAUGAAAAGUAAUGGAGUGGAGAUGCUUAAUGCUUAUUGACUAUAAAUAAUUUAGAUUAUUUAUAAUUUUAAAUACUAAUUGGUAAAUAAUGACCCAUUAAUAAGUCUGACAAUAUGGCUGGAAAAUAAAAUCAAGAGAGAUUUCAAAGAACCCUCCCAACUCAGCAUCCCAUGAAUUUUGCUUGCUGCCUAUCAACAUCUGCUUCACUUUUCAGCAAACUUGUCUUGCCUGCUUUGCAACUCACAGCAGUGCCUAAUUUAAACAUUCUGUAAUUGUGGUUUUUAGUCCUAAAUGGGGUUGUGAGGUGUGCAAUUACUGCUUCUUUCAUUUUAUUUACAAAAGACAAGCUAGAGGGAGAAUACUGGUUUUUUGCUCCCACCUGUUAUGCUAAGAGAAGCUAAAUGAGUGUUUGACAGAUAAAAAUAUAAACGAUGAAUCCUCAUCUUAAAAUACUAUUGGAAUUAAAUUCAUAUGUGUUUGUGAGAGUCUGGGAAAGUUCCAGAAACUGACAGCAUUUUACUUUUCCUUCUGCAUGUACAGUAUGCUCAAAAAGCUUCUCUUAAAAUGCCCUGUAAUUAACCUAGGAUACAAGAGAGAAAAUGGUGAACAGAACAACAAAGACAAUUUGUCAUCAGGAUUUUCAUUAAACCCCUCAGUAUUAUAGGAAUUAAUUUCAGCAGUGCUUUGCCCUGAUUACUGCCUGUCGGAUAGGAUACAGGCAUCCAACAGGAUAUUUGAAUGGAGAUCUUCUGCUCCCAUCCUACAUCAGCAUUAUGAAGAAAAAUUGACUGAAUAAUAUCUGUGUUGCAGCUGGCUGCUUACAAGAAACAAUUAUGUGCCUUAUGGUGGAGGAAGAAUGAUACUGCUCAUGAGUGGCCACCUCAUAGUAAGCAGAAUGUUUCUACUUGCUGAACAGAUGAAAACAACUUUCAGCAAGAUACAGACUCUGAGAGGCCAAAAUAUUACUCCAGAGUACCUUCUGUGGGCAUGUAUCAAGAAGAGAAAGCAAAAUCAGAAGACACUGUUACUACCCUGGCAAUUAUAUUUACCAGGCAAGGCUGCAGAGAAGCAAAGACAGAAUUACAUCCUAAAAAUCACUCAAAGGGAUCAUCUAUCCAAAUUUUUUGGAUCACUUGAUCCAAAUAGGUGCUGAGAACUCAUUUUAUCAGCAUUAACUGAUCACAGCAAAAGACUAUUGGUUAAUAUGAUCCUUCUGGUUACAACGCCAUGCACCAGUUUAAUUCAGACAGACUCUCAUUUGCCCAUUAACUCACAUGCUGGAAGAAAAAGCUCAUGGUCUUGGUUCAAUGCACUUUUCAGUCACUGAUUGGCACUGUUACAGGUAUUAUUUAAAUACCUCUCCUUUUGAACAUCUAGAAUCUGACUUCCAGAAUAUUUUUGUUAAUGAAAGCCUCAGGUCAACAUGAGAUGUGAAAAUAAACAUGUUCAUGUCUCUUUAAGAACUUAGAAAGAAAAUAAACUAUAAAAUAUUAACUCUGGUCUGUUACUGUGUGCCAUUCCUGGUGCUGAUUUAGUCUCUCCUCUCUUUUGAAGUAUGAGGCUGACAGGGGUCCAACACACAGCAAUUGUGUUUUCCUACAGUCCCCAUCCACGAACACAUCGGGUGCAGGAACAAAGCUGCAAAGAGCUUGGGGUGCUCUCUUCCCUUAGCUCACAUCUUUUUGAAGGUGCUGGGGGCCAUGGUCCCUUAUGCUGCAGACCAAGCUCCACCAUCCUGCAUUGUUUUUCACCCUGCCUUUGACAAGCUGCGUGGCAAUAUUCAUUUGGUCUGCCCUACCAUCACAGCCUGAUUUGUAACCUGACUGCUCAGCUGUCAGCUCCACUGCAGGUUGAGUUUUAUUUUAAUAAAACUGUGGGAGUGAGACAACUUCUUUGUACAAGCAUGGCAGAGGCCUGAAGCUUGCCUAACUCAAUCCAUUAAGGAUUUAUAUAUUAGGUGGUCUUCAACAUCUAUUUAAAUUUGAAGUGUUUGUGAUCUGACACAAUGCUGGGAAUAAAUUUAAUUGACUUUUGUUAUUUUUUCCUUUUUGGGGUCAGAAGAACUGAGUGGUGUUAAUGCUUUGUGACUAGAAAGGCUCCUCUACCCAUUAGCGACUGCACAAGGGAGUACAAACCUACUGUACCAACACACAGGACUAAACCCCAGCUUGUUGAGGACAUUCACACUUCAUAUUAAAACAUAAACAUUGCAAGGUAUUUAAUUCACACAGGUGAAGUUUUAUGAGGAACAAGUGAAUCGAUGGACUAUUUUUUUUCUCAAGUUUCCAAACAAUUGAUACAAAACAUCCAAAUGUUUUAAAAUAGCUUCCAUAUCCUUAAUAAAUAAGGCACCUGGAUUUGUCACUCCUAGAACUACACUAAACUCACAUCACUUGUGUUUCUCAAAAGGAAAGUGCAAGCUUGUGGGUCAAAAAAAGAUAAGGCUUGCUUAAAUGGGAAUUGAGGAAUGCAGAACCUUUGCAAAAUUUCAUUAAUAAAGUAAAAGGAAGUAAAAGAAGUAUAGCUAAAUAUACAGGAUACAAGUAGAAUUAGAUUCCCAGGGCAGCAACAUUACUGGUUCUGACAAGGUGAAUUUAUCCAAGCUUUCCAGGAUGUCAAAUUUACCUCAGAACAUGCUUAUAUUUUUCUGUUCCAUCCUUUCAAUCUGAUGACAUUUCACAGACUGCUGUGCCAUUAGCAAAUAGGUUGCUACUUUUAAAAAAUGGCUUUGUCAAGCUCAGAAUUUAACAGAGAAAUACAGUUCUGAUUCAGACACCUGUGUUUCAAUUCACUAUCAAUCAUCAGGUUAGUUAUCGCUCAGGAGGUAAAAGUAAAUCAAGGUGCAAAAUAACCUGGAACAACUUUUGCACUCUUUAAUGCCCUUUUUUGCCUCACUGAUGUAAUCAACAGAAGAAUAAGGCUGAGAUUCUUUCCAUUAUAGAAAAUAACUUUGUUCAAUAAAAACCUCUUCACAGGUCUUCUUUAACUCCAUAAAUGCUUUUAAAUGACAUUUUGGUCUGAUUGUUGUUUUCUGUUGACUUGCAUAAAGCUGCCAAUCAUUGCCUGUCUUCUGUUUGUAACAGGAUAUAUACGCAGGAUAUAUUUAACUGGAUAUUUUAUCAAUUUCAUCUAUCUGGAAGAGUAGCUCUUUUUUAAAAGAUGA